CCAACGUGGACAUCCAUUAGAAGUUGCUUUCUUAUGGCCCUGUCCAUGUGGCUUAUGGAAGCGUAGCACUGAGUGCCAUGACGUAUACUUCAUUUCACACCGUUGGAGAGCAUAUUUGUCCCCAGUCUUUGGGCCAGUGUGGGCAACAAUCCUGUAUAUUCCUAUAACUUCUCAGAGUCCUUGGACAAUUACUGAGGAGACAAACCAUGCAGGAUACACAA